rnacentral:rRNA from 1 species
AGAGUUUGAUCCUGGCUCAGGACGAACGCUGGCGGCGUGCCUAAUACAUGCAAGUCGAGCGAGCUUGCCUAGAUGAUUUUCGUGCUAGGGCUAAAUGAAACUCCAUACGAGCGAGCGGCGAACGGGUGAGGAACACCUGGGUAACCUGCCCGAGACACUGGGAUAACACCUGUGAACAGAUGCUAAUACCGGAUAACGACACUAGACGCAUGUCUAGAGUUUGAAAGAUGGCUCUGCUAUCACUCUUGGAUGGACCUGCGGUGCAUUAGCUAGUUGGUAAGGUAACGGCUUACCAAGGCAAUGAUGCAUAGCCGAGUUGAGAGACUGAUCGACCACAUUGGGAGUGAGACACGGCCCAAACUCUUACGGGAGGCAGCAGUAGGGAAUCUUCCACAAUGGAGGAAAGUGUGAUGGAGCAACGCCGCGUGAGUGAAGAAGGGUUUCGGCUGGUAAAGCUCUGUUGCGUAUGUGAAGAAAGAUAGAGGUAGUAACUGGCCUUUAUUUGACGGUAAUUACUUAGAAAGUCACGGCUAACUACGUGCCAGCAGCCGCGGUAAUACGUAGGUGGCAAGCGUUGUCCGGAUUUAUUGGGUGUAAAGCGAGUGCAGGCGGUUCAAUAAGUCUGAUGUGAAAGCCUUGGGCUCAACCCGAGAAGUGCAUCAGAAACUGUCUGAACUUGAGUGCAGAAGAGGAGAGUGGAAUUCCUUGUGUAGCGGUGGAAUGCGUAGAUAUAUGGAAGAACACCAGUGGCGAAGGCGGCUCUCUGGUCUGCAACUGACGCUGAGGCUCGAAAGCAUGGGUAGCGAACAGGAUUAGAUACCCUGGUAGUCCAUGCCGUAAACGAUGAGUGCUAAGCGUUGGGAACGUUUCCGCCUCUCAGUGGUGCAGCUAACGCAUUAAGCUCUCCGCGUGGGGAGUGCGACCGCGAGGUUGAAUCUCAAAGGAAUUGGAGGGGGGCCCGCACAAGCGGUGGCGCAUGUGGUUUAAUUAGAAGCAACGAGAAGCACCUUCCCUGGUCUUGACAUCCAGUGCGAACGUCAGAGACCAGGUGCUCCUUUCGGCGACGCUGACACAGGUGGCGCAGGGCUGUUGUCAGCUCGUGUCGUGAGAUGUUGGGUUAAGUCCCGCAGCGAGCGCACCCCUUGUCAUUAGUCCCCAUCAUUAAGUUGGGCACUCUAAUGAGACUGCCGGGGACAACCCGGAGGAAGGUGGGGAUGACGUCAAGUCAUCAUGCCCCUUAUGACCUGGGCUACACACGUGCUACAAUGGACGGUACAACGAGAAGCGAACCUGCGAAGGCGAACGGAUCUCUUAAAGCUGUUCUCAGUUCGGACUGUAGUCUGCGACUCGCCUACACGAAGCUGGAAUCGCUAGUAAUCGCGGAUCAGCACGCCGCGGUGAAUACGUUCCCGGGCCUUGCACACACCGCCCGUCA